rnacentral:rRNA from 1 species
UACGUAGGGGGCAAGCGUUGUCCGGAAUCAUUGGGCGUAAAGAGCGCGUAGGCGGCCCUGUAAGUCCGCUGUGAAAGUCAAGGGCUCAACCCUUGGAUGCCGGUGGAUACUGCAGGGCUAGAGUCCGGAAGAGGCGAGUGGAAUUCCUGGUGUAGCGGUGAAAUGCGCAGAUAUCAGGAGGAACACCGAUGGCGAAGGCAGCUCGCUGGGACGGUACUGACGCUGAGGCGCGAAAGCGUGGGUAGCAAACAGG